GGAUUCUCACUCCUGAGA
rnacentral:misc_RNA from 1 species